UUUAUGGAGAGUUUGAUCCUGGCUCAGGACGAACGCUGGCGGCGUGCCUAAUACAUGCAAGUCGAGCGAACAGAAAAGGAGCUUGCUCCUUUGACGUUAGCGGCGGACGGGUGAGUAACACGUGGGCAACCUACCUUAUAGUUUGGGAUAACUCCGGGAAACCGGGGCUAAUACCGAAUAAUCUCUUUUGCUUCAUGGCAAGAGACUGAAAGACGGCAUCUCGCUGUCGCUAUAGGAUGGGCCCGCGGCGCAUUAGCUAGUUGGUGAGGUAACGGCUCACCAAGGCGACGAUGCGUAGCCGACCUGAGAGGGUGAUCGGCCACACUGGGACUGAGACACGGCCCAGACU
rnacentral:rRNA from 1 species